UAGGUGGGCGGGGACGGGUGGGUAACGCGUGGGCAACCUGCCUUACACAGGGGGAUAACAGCUAGAAAUGGCUGCUAAUACCGCAUAAGACCUCAGUACCGCAUGGUAGAGGGGUAAAAACUCCGGUGGUGUAAGAUGGCCCGCGUCUGAUUAGGUAGUUGGUAGGGUAACGGCCUACCAAGCCGACGAUCAGUAGCCGACCUGAGAGGGUGACCGGCCACAUUGGGACUGAGACACGGCCCAA
rnacentral:rRNA from 1 species